GUAUGGACUCAUCUGGGACACCUAAAGAGAACCAGACAGAGAGGUGUAAUGGGAUUGUAACAGUUAUUAAUAUAAAUACCAGAAUGAUAAAACAAAGAAGGAAGAGACGCAGCUAGAGAGGUAUAUAAUGGCAUUGUAACAAUAAUGUAAAUAACAUUAAAAGUAUGCACAGAGUUGUUGUCUAACUUUUAGAGAGAGAUUAACUUGCCGAGGGGGGCCUGGGGUAGCUGUCGUAGGGGGGUGGAGGGCUGUCCUGUUUGGGUAUUGUUGACGGCAUCUCCAUUUCCUCAUGGUCACUUUCACUCCAGUAUUCUGGUGAUGAUGACAAGGAAGAAGCAGAAAAGAGGACACGUCACCAUCAGAAAGAGAAUGUGGGGGGAUUUUCUAAAGUAGGGAAAACAAAGCGGCUAUUGUCCUUUAUUAUUGCCAGCUUUAUUAAUGUGUAUUCAUGUAUUCUCACCCUGGUCCUGUCGGAUCCUCUCCUGCUCCGAGUAACCUGCCACUGCCAUGGUCAGACGACUCAGCCACCUGUGAGGGAACAACACUAAUGAAACCUCUGUGUCAGCUACAGUAAUCAUCACUGACAGUGACUCUCACCUAUUCAUGUCAUCCACAUUGUCUGCUGCAAAGUAGAAACUCUUGAUCUUUGGAUGGCAGGCCUUGAAAGCACUGGAACACGGAAACAUGAUGUUAAGGACAGAUUCCACCAUACUCCAGCCCUCACAGUCCCCACGCCCCAGGUCCUUACAGGAGAUACGCCUCUUACUGAUGGAGGACAGAGAGCCACCUACUGAAACCUUGAGAGCAGCGAGGAUCGUUCAAACAUCUACAAAAUACCACACAUGAAAUUGAGAGAUAGCAAUACACAUUGAUCUGUCUCCACUGUUAUCAGUCCUCAAAAUAACUUACCAUAAUCACAACAAACAAACUGUAUAAGUCAGUGUUGUCUCAGGGGUCUGGGACCAGUGGGACUUACAUGGUAGAGGGAGGCAGAGUCAGAGCUGGACGUGGACAUGGAGACCUCCAUCUGGAGGGCUGGGUGGAGGGCGUAGUGGGCAGGGCUGCUUUUGUCACUCUUCUUCCUGCUGCGUCCUGUCAGGUACUCCUCUGGCAUGGCCUUGUCCUCACUCUGACUCACAUAGCGCAGCAGGGAGUUUUCUAUGGGAGCAGGAAAGGCCAGCAAUUCUAUCACUUUGUCUAAUGCCAUUUGAUUCUAUAGACCUACAAUGUGUACAUCAUUUCUACCUACUGAAUAUUAAUUGUGCUGUAACUUAGUUAAAAACCUCUACUGGAUCAGUGUCCCGAAAUCGGGACAGUUGCUGCUCAAUAUUUUACUUGAAUGGCGUUGUAAACAAAAGCCAACUUUCCGGGGCAUAGACAUGUCUUAUAUGGUCAGAAAGCUUAAAUGUUGUUAACCUAACCACAGUGUACAAUUUACAGUAGAUAUUACAGCUAAAAAAUACCAUGCUAUUGUUAGAGGAUAGUGCACAACAACAAAACACUUUUAUCAAGGCAACUGGUUUGAUACAUUCACCUCUGACGGUAUAUAAUGUACUUACAUUCAGUAAUCUUGCUCUGAUUUGCCAUCCUGAGGGUACCAGAGACAGAAUGCAGCAUAGUUUUGUUUGAUAAAAUAAAUUGUUAUAUCCUAACACGAUCCAUGUUUUAUACAGCAUUUCGUGUGAAUUCCAACUCUUUCAACAAAACAAUCUAUGAAAUCUAACCGGCUAAACCUUGUUUCACCCGGUCAAUUUUGGUUUCUGUGCAAUCCUCAGACAAUCUAGAAGGCAACCCAAAAAUUGUUAAUCAUUUUACAUUACGUAUUGGCUACAUAACAUGUCAAUUAGCCCAUGAAGGACAGCCAUCAUUAUGCACCAAUGAGACAGGCGGUGUUGACUUGAUUGACCGUCUCUUGCUCCAAUGACCACCUAUCAUUUUGAAACAUAGCUAGCUAGAUAGCCAAUGAGCUGGGCUUUACAUGAGAAUGUGAUGGUCCUUUGUAGGACUAAUGGCCAUUGUCUUAUGGCUCCGCGCAACACGAUUCAUUCCCCAUUGAAAAUCCACAAAGUUUUCUCAAAACUGAAAAAGUACAACAUGGCUGCUAAGAGUAUAAACGCUAAAUCGAACUUCAA